rnacentral:rRNA from 1 species
GACGAACGCUGGCGGCGUGCUUAACACAUGCAAGUCGAACGGAAAGGCCUUGCUUUUGUGGGGUGCUCGAGUGGCGAACGGGUGAGUAACACGUGAGUAACCUGCCCUUGACUUUGGGAUAACUUCAGGAAACUGGGGCUAAUACCGGAUAGGAGCUCCUGCUGCAUGGUGGGGGUUGGAAAGUUUCGGCGGUUGGGGAUGGACUCGCGGCUUAUCAGCUUGUUGGUGGGGUAGUGGCUUACCAAGGCUUUGACGGGUAGCCGGCCUGAGAGGGUGACCGGCCACAUGGGACUGAGAUACGGCCCAGACUCCUACGGGAGGCAGCAGUGGGGAAUAUUGCACAAUGGGCGGAAGCCUGAUGCAGCAACGCCGCGUGCGGGAUGACGGCCUUCGGGUUGUAAACCGCUUUCGCCUGUGACGAAGCGUGAGUGACGGUAAUGGGUAAAGAAGCACCGGCUAACUACGUG